GCGUUCGUGGUGAAAUGGUAUCAUGCUAGCCUUCCAAGCUGGAGCUCCGGGUUCGAUUCCCGGCGAUCGCA
rfam:Thelohanellus kitauei scaffold00870, whole genome shotgun sequence.